rnacentral:ncRNA from 1 species
AAAAAGGCAAUGAAGAGGGCGAGUACCUUUUAGAAAUACUUUAGAGAGCUUUUGGUUGGUGAAAAAAAGCGUAGGACUAAUUGGGAAUAAAGACUUGGAGCUAUUUGUAUUUCCUGCAUUAAAGGAAGCGCUGUUUAUAGACAGUGACUAAGGCUAGACAAAGUGAUUUGUCUGGUAAAUUAGGGUGGUAACACGAGCACUUCGUCCCUUUG